rnacentral:rRNA from 1 species
AAUCAACGCUGACGGCGUGCCUCAGACAUGCAAGUCGAACGAUUAAAGCUCUCUUCGGAGAGUGCAUAGAGUGGCGCACGGGUGAGUAACACGUAAGUAAUCUACCUUCGAGUGGGGAAUAACGUCCGGAACGGACGCUAAUACCGCAUAAUGCAGCGGCAUCGCAAGAUGACAGUUGUUAAAGGAGCAAUUCGCUUGAAGAGGAGCUUGCGGCAGAUUAGCUUGUUGGUAAGGUAACGGCUUACCAAGGCUACGAUCUGUAACCGGUCUAAGAGGACGGUCGGUCACACUGACACUGAAUAACGGGUCAGACUCCUACGGGAGGCAGCAGUCGGGAAUUUU